rnacentral:rRNA from 1 species
AUUGAACGCUGGCGGCAGGCCUAACACAUGCAAGUCGAGCGAGCGGCGGCCGGGUGAGUAAUGUAUGGGGACUGCCCGAUAGAGGGGGAUAACUACUUGAAACGGUGGCUAAUACCGCAUACUAUCGGAUAACCCAUAUGGGAUUAGCUAGUAGGUGGGGUAAAGGCUCACCUAGGCGACGAUCUCUAGCUGGUCUGAGAGGAGGAUUGCCUACAUUGGGACGGAGACACGGCCCGUACUCCUACGGAGGAAGCAGUGGGGAAUAGUGCAGAAUGGGCGCAAGCUUGAUGCAGCCAUGCCGCGUGUAUGAAGAAGGCCGUAGGGUUGUAAAGUACUUUCAGCGGGGAGGCGUUACCCGCAGAAGAAGCAACGGCUAACUCCGUGCCAGCAGCCGCGGUAAUAC